GAUGAACGCUGGCGGCGUGCUUAACACAUGCAAGUCGAACGGAAGGGCCACAGCUUGCUGUGGUACUCGAGUGGCGAACGGGUGAGUAACACGUGGGUGAUCUGCCCUGUACUUCGGGAUAAGCUUGGGAAACUGGGUCUAAUACCGGAUAGGAAUCACAUGUGGGUGUGUGGUUGGAAAGCUUUUGCGGUAUGGGAUGAGCUCGCGGCCUAUCAGCUUGUUGGUGGGGUAAUGGCCUACCAAGGCGUCGACGGGUAGCCGGCCUGAGAGGGUGUACGGCCACAGUGGGAGUGAGAUGCGGCCCAGACUCCGAGGGGAGGAAGAAGGGGGAAAUUGUGCCAAAGGGGCGCACGCCGGAUGCAGCGGCGCCGCGGGGGGGAGAACGCCCUUGGGUUUGUAACCUCCUUUCGCCGGGGACGAAGCGAAGGGGAGGGUCCCGGAAAAAAAAGCCCCGGCUAACUCGGUG
rnacentral:rRNA from 1 species